rnacentral:rRNA from 1 species
GUAGGUGGCAAGCGUUGUCCGGAAUUAUUGGGCGUAAAGCGCGCGCAGGCGGUUCUUUAAGUCUGAUGUGAAAGCCCACGGGCUCCACCGUGGAGGGUCAUUGGAAACUGGAGAACUUGAGUACAGAAGAGGAAAGCGGAAUUCCACGUGUAGCGGUGAAAUGCGUAGAGAUGUGGAGGAACACCAGUGGCGAAGGCGGCUUUCUGGUCUGUAACUGACGCUGAGGCGCGAAAGCGUGGGGAGCAAACAGGAUUAGAUACCCUGGUAGUCCACGCCGUAAACGAUGAGUGCUAAGUGUUAGGGGGUUUCCGCCCCUUAGUGCUGCAGCUAACGCAUUAAGCACUUCGCCUGGGGAGUACGGCCGCAAGGCUG